UACGUAGGCAGCAAGCGUUGUUCGGAGUUACUGGGCGUAAAGGGUGUGUAGGCGGUUGGAUAAGUGUGGUGUGAAAUCUCCCGGCUUAACUGGGAGGGUGCGCUACAAACUGUCUGACUAGAGUGUGGGAUGGGUAAGCGGAAUUCCUGGUGUAGCGGUGAAAUGCGUAGAUAUCAGGAGGAACACCGGUGGUGUAGACGGCUUACUGGACCAUAACUGACGCUGAGACACGAAAGCGUGGGGAGCAAACAGG
rnacentral:rRNA from 1 species